rnacentral:rRNA from 1 species
CUGUAUAAUCUAAGCUAUAUUAGAAUGCAUUUAAAAUUUUUAAGAUGGGGAAGCUAAGCAGGAUCGGGCCUGGUUAGUACUUGGAUGGGAGACUACCUAGGAAGACCAGGUGUUGUAGGUG